rnacentral:rRNA from 1 species
AACGAACGCUGGCGGCAUGCCUAACACAUGCAAGUCGAACGAGCCCUUCGGGUCUAGUGGCGCACGGGUGCGUAACGCGUGGGAACCUGCCCUUAGGUUCUGAAUAACUCCCCGAAAGGGGUGCUAAUACCGGAUAAUGUCUUCGGACCAAAGAUUUAUCGCCUUUGGAUGGGCCCGCGUUGUAUUAGCUAGUUGGUAGGGUAAAAGCCUACCAAGGCGACGAUCCAUAGCUGGUCUGAGAGGAUGAUCAGCCACACUGGGACUGAGACACGGCCCAGACUCCUACGGGAGGCAGCAGUGGGGAAUAUUGGACAAUGGGCGAAAGACUGAGCCAGCAAUGCCGCGUGAGUGAUGAAGGCCUUAGGGUUGUAAAGCACUGGUACCAGAGAUGAUAAUGACAGGACCGGGAGAAUAAGCUCCGGCUAACUCCGUG